rnacentral:rRNA from 1 species
UACGUAGGGUGCAAGCGUUAAUCGGAAUUACUGGGCGUAAAGCGUGCGCAGGCGGUUUUGUAAGUCUGACGUGAAAUCCCCGGGCUCAACCUGGGAAUUGCGUUGGAGACUGCAAGGCUGGAGUCUGGCAGAGGGGGGUAAAAUUCCACGUGUAGCAGUGAAAUGCGUAGAGAUGUGGAGGAACACCGAUGGCGAAGGCAGCCCCCUGGGUCAAGACUGACGCUCAUGCACGAAAGCGUGGGGAGCAAACAGG